rnacentral:rRNA from 1 species
UACAGAGGUCUCAAGCGUUGUUCGGAUUCAUUGGGCGUAAAGGGUGCGUAGGUGGCGCUGUAAGUCGGGUGUGAAAUUUCGGAGCUUAACUCCGAAACUGCAUUCGAUACUGCGGUGCUUGAGGACUGGAGAGGAGACUGGAAUUCAUGGUGUAGCAGUGAAAUGCGUAGAGAUCAUGAGGAAGACCAGUGGCGAAGGCGGGUCUCUGGACAGUUCCUGACACUGAGGCACGAAGGCCAGGGGGAGCAAAACGGG